AAAAUGCGAUACGUCAUGUGAAUUGCAGAGCACGGCGAAUCAUCGAAUCUUUGAACGCAAAUUGCGCCCUGGAAGCCGAGGUUUUCAGGGCACGUCUUUUUGAGUGCCUAUAACAAACUUUAUCUCGUCGUCUACCCUUCAAAUCUCUGGAGGUCUGAUUGACGUAUUGGGAUUCCGGACAUAGAAGAUCCUCGCGGAUCGCAUCGAUCCGGUCUCCUAGAGCGAAUGGACGCCAUCGCCUUGACGACGGGUCUCGGCGCCGCUUGUCGGUGUCGAGGUGUUUCGAGAACUGAUUGAGAUGAACAUCGUCCACAUUCUCGACCUCGUCGUAAACCGAUGCCUCGUCCUCCGAAGGAAAGCCUGCCUCGCGGGCAAACUCAACUUUGGCCUCAAAUGAGACGGGAUUACCCGCUGAAUUUAA
rnacentral:misc_RNA from 1 species